UGAGAAAAAUUGCCCGGAGGGAAUAACUGAAAUGUAUCAGUUUUCCUGCAGUGAUAACCAUAAUUUAAGAAGUAACAACUUAAUGCUGAGGUUGGCUAAACCAAAAACUAAUGCAAUGAAAAAGUCGUUCAGUUAUGCCGCCGCCAACAUCUGGAACUCACAGAGCAUUUCAGAAAGAAAGAAAUUAACUUGAUUCAAUGAUUUGAUAUAUAGUAGGUUAUGGCGUAUUAAAUGUAUUAGACGUGUAAUUAUGUAUAUUGUCCUGUAUUGUAUUGAUAUUCAAAAAUUGUAAUUUUAGCGUAAUCACACGGCCUUUUGAAAAGCAGCAUUUUAUCUAUUUAUUUUUUUUUUCUUCUUAAUUUAUUAUUGCAUGUUUACUUA